UAGGGAAUCUUCGGCAAUGGGCGAAAGUCUGACCGAGCAACGCCGCGUGAGUGAAGAAGGUUUUCGGAUCGUAAAACUCUGUUGUUAGAGAAGAACAAGGACGUUAGUAACUGAACGUCCCCUGACGGUAUCUAACCAGAAAGCCACGGCUAACUACGUGCCAGCAGCCGCGGUAAUACGUAGGUGGCAAGCGUUGUCCGGAUUUAUUGGGCGUAAAGCGAGCGCAGGCGGUUUCUUAAGUCUGAUGUGAAAGCCCCCGGCUCAACCGGGGAGGGUCAGUGGAAACUGGGAGACUUGAGUGCAGGAGAGGAGAGUGGAAUUCCGUGUGUAGCGGUGAAAUGCGUAGAUAUAUGGGGGAACACCAGUGGCGAAGGCGGCUCUCUGGUCUGUAACUGACGCUGAGGCUCGAAAGCGUGGGGAGCAAACAGG
rnacentral:rRNA from 1 species